rnacentral:rRNA from 1 species
UACGUAGGGGGCAAGCGUUGUCCGGAAUCAUUGGGCGUAAAGCGAGCGUAGGCGGCCCGAUAAGUCUGCUGUAAAAGUCAACGGCUCAACCGUUGAAAGCCGGUGGAUACUGUCGGGCUAGAGUUCGGAAGAGGCAAGUGGAAUUCCUGGUGUAGCGGUGGAAUGCGCAGAUAUCAGGAGGAACACCGGUGGCGAAGGCGGUUCUCUGGGCAUGUCCUGACGCUGAGGAGCGAAAGUGUGGGGAGCGAACAGG